CAACAAACAACGGAACCAAAACCUGAAACUCCAAAUGAAAGGUACCACACUUCAUGUCCUGUGAAAAUCCAAAUGGAGUAUCUGAAGCGCAGUGGAAGCACAGCUGAACUGAGACAGAAAGAUCAAUUGCAGAUAAUACAUCAUAAGAAUAAAAUCUAACAAAGGAGGUCAUGAUAUGUAGGAUUAUGAAGAGAAUGAGGAAAGCACAGGUAAAGGGACAGAGAGCAGAGCCAGCCUUGGUAAGGAGACUGAACCAGAGAGGAGAUGCCAUGUCAGCAGUGCAUGGAGCUUGGUGCAUCCAGCAUGGGCAGAAAAAGAAGAAGAAGAAGAAAGAAGAAGAAGAAGAAAAAAGAAGAAAGAAGAAGAUGAAGAAGAAGAAGAUGAUGAAGAUGAAGAAGAAGAAGAAGAAUUACUCCUUAUCCCCAGCCAGAUUAGCAGCCACUCAAGCACAGAGUUUUAGAGGAAUAUGCUACGUGAGAAAAGAGAGAAAUUGCAAGGUGGUGAGAGGGCAAGAAUGGAGAAGAGCUUAAUUAAAUUAACUGAGGGAAUAUUUACACUUCCCAUUUCUGAGAUUCGCAAUUCUGUAGAACAGUCUCCCAGAGGAAGUCAUGAAAACCUCAUCACUGAGCCAUUUUAAAUGAGUUGGAACAGCUCUACAGUGAACACUGUGGGGGCUGUGGACUGGCUCAUGGCUCCUCUCUCUGUCUCUCUUUAUAACUAAUGAAGCACACUCCCCUUAAAUCUCCAUAGCACAAACCAUGGGAUAAUCCAUAUCAACUCAUGAAUGUAUUUCACUUGCAAAAUGUGAAUAGAUACUUAUGCAAAUAAAUGGAUCAGAUUACCAACA
ensembl:lncRNA